GAAGUGCGAUAAGCAAUGCGAAUUGCAGAAUUCCGCGAGUCAUCAGAUCUUUGAACGCAAAUGGCGCCGGAGGGAUAUCCUUCUGGCAUGUCUGUUUCAGUGUCUGAGAGGUUUCACCAACAUCUUAAUGUGAUUGACAGCAGCAGCAGCAGCAAGCAAUUGUUGUGGUUGGUGUUGUCUCUCAUGAAAGAUGCGCGAGUGGAUCUUUCGGUCCAAUGAAGUGGUCACAUCACUCGUAUGUGAUUUCAUUGGGAGCACCGAAUUAUCCGCCAUGCUCUCGGUGUCAUCAUAUAAUAUAUGACGAAAGCAAGAAAGAAAGAAAGAAAGAGUUUCUUUCUUCUUCUUCUUCUUUGGUUGUAUUUUUUUUCUCUCUCUACACCCUGCAUCUGAGAUAGGCAAGAUCACCCGCUGAACUUAAGC
rnacentral:misc_RNA from 1 species